AACGUAGGAGACAAACGUUAUCCGGAGUUACUGGGCGUAAAGGGCGUGUAGGCGGUUAGUUAAGUCUGGGGUGAAAGCUCUCGGCUAAACCGGGAGAGGUCGUUGGAUACUGGCUGACUAGAGGACGGUAGAGGCGUGUGGAAUUCCGGGUGUAGUGGUGAAAUGCGUAGAGAUCCGGAGGAACACCAGUGGCGAAGGCGACACGCUGGGCCGUACCUGACGCUAAAGCGCGACAGCAUGGGGAGCAAACGGG
rnacentral:rRNA from 1 species